rnacentral:rRNA from 1 species
AGAUUAAGUUAUUAAGGGCGCACGGUGGAUGCCUUGGCACUAGAAGCCGAUGAAGGACGUUACUAACGACGAUAUGCUUUGGGGAGCUGUAAGUAAGCUUUGAUCCAGAGAUUUCCGAAUGGGGAAACCCAGCAUGAGUUAUGUCAUGUUAUCGAUAUGUGAAUACAUAGC